UUUGUGUGGCCCUAGGACGGACGCAUUACGCACUCGUCCACACAUCCUUUAUGACACGUACCUUAGAGAACUUUUGGUCCAGGCAGAGGUGGUGGCUGGAGCUUGAAAGGCACUCACAGGGGCCCAGGGAUCUGCAGGACAAUUUUCCUCCCCAAGUCUGUGUCCUUGGAAGCCUCAAUAUCACAUAGGUAGAUGGCCGGGAGCCGGGAGGUGUCCAUCCCACUCCACGAGUCCUGAAGAAAGUGGCAGGUGACGCUACCCCUCAUUGGGCUGGGAGCUUCAGGAUGCCAAGCACCUCCCUGGUCAUUCUUCCCCUGAGCCCUCAGAUUUUAUUUGGGGAUGGAAUGGGAAAGAUGGGAAAGGAGAUGAGAAAAGACCCUCUUUCAAUUGAAUUAUCAUGGAGCAUAAAAUAUUGUCUAACAUUUUGGGGAUGAAGUUUGUGAAAGCAGUUGCCUUUGGUGUGAUCACACAAGCUUCUUUAUUUUGGUGGGCAAAUUUGACAUUUCUAAGAAGGAACUUUUAAAAAAAUGCUUCCCUGGACAUCUUAUUUCUUAAUUCUGCGAUCUCCCAAAAGGCUAGUCCGAGCUUCACACAUUUUUUAAUGUUUUCACUGCCUUCAAAAGCAGACAGGUGAGGAGAGAUGAGGGGGAUUAUAAAUAGCCCCCGGGAGAGACAUUAAAUGGCUUGGUACUGAUAUAAUGUAACAGAAGCCACCAGGGUGUCUAGUAAAUUACUCUAAAUUUUAAUUAAUGAGUCACAAAAGCCACACCACAAGUUUAAAAAAUUACCCUUUUAUCAAUAAGGUGAUAAUUAACUUUCUCUGGAAUUAGCAGUUCGCUCAGCCCUGGGGCAGUACACAGCCUACUAAGUUAUCUGGAAUGCUGCCAAUUUUUAACAAUUGGUCUUUUGGCAAACCUGCUGGAUUUAAAUUCAAACAUCUAUUGUGACAUUUUCCGACAUGAUCCACGGACCAUUAGGAUCACCCAAUUCAUGGUAAAAUUUCUGAGGUCAAAAGAGCAACUUGGAAUGUUUGAAUUGCAUUUGAAUGUCACUUUCUCUUUCUUCAUUUUUUUUUUCUUUUCUACCUUUCCCCACCCCAAAUGUCUGCAUUUGCAAAAGCGCAGUACUCCAGUCUCUGCUAUAAAUCUCUAAUGGAGUCUCUGCUGUAAAUCGCCGUGGCGAACCCCGUAUUUGGUGAUAUGCCUAUGCCGAAUUCGAGCGCUUUGGCUGCCAGGCCGUGCGUUCUCAGAGUUUUUCAUUGUUGUUGAACUCAUCUUGGUUUCAGUUCUGGCAAGGGCUUACUCCUUCACAUUUCUGCAAACUCUCACCUGUGGUUUGUCAAAUGCUGAGCUUUAGACUGAGACUUGAAGAGAUGCUUUGGGCAAGAGGGCAUCGUUUUGGAUGUGCUUACAAAGGCUUGGAAUUAGCUGCUUCUGAUCUGCAUAUAUUAAAAUGUCUGAAAAGGCACAGGAGCAUUCAGCAUUGCAGAGCAGCCUGGCCCCCAACAGCCCUUUACACACACACACACACACACACACACACACACACACACAAUCAUUCUAACUCUUUGUGGCCUUCCAAAGAAGAGGCUGGCCUCUUUCCUUCACAGUUCCUUAGGAUUUAGUGCCCUCAUUAUUGGGAAAUGUUGGUGGUGUCAAGGCUUUAUCAAACCAUUAGCUAUUAAGACAUACUGUUUAUUCCAAAAAGAAAAACUGACAGAGGUUGCACAAAGCGUUGGAUUCAUUGAUCAGUAGAGAAUUCCACCGUGGGAAUAGAUUUCUGUCAUGUAUUCAGUCGUGAGAAAUCUGUGGUCAUUUGCUGGAUUCCAUGCUGUUGCCAUUGUGGUCUGUGCUGGGGGAGUUUGCCUUAAGACGUAGGAGUCAACCCAGCAGCCAUCUGUGCACUGCCCCUUGUCCUGGGAAUUCUGCCUUUCAGAUGCCAAAGGUGCUCGAACAUGUUUGACUGUAUCACUUUUAAAACCUCAUUUGCAAAAAAGCUUCAAGUGGAGAGCUGUAGAUAGCUUUAAAUUUUGGUAUGCAAAUUACAAAGCAUAGAAGUGGUGGGGGAAAAAGCUGGUUUUAAUGCUGGAAAUUGCCACCCACUGUGUGAAUAUAGAGCUCUUGUUUUGAGUGUCUUCACAUAAUUAAUACUAGAGACUUAACAUAAAUAAAGAGGGCAAAAAGCA